rnacentral:rRNA from 1 species
GGUGGAGCGAAUCCUUUCAAAGCCGGUCUCAGUUCGGAUCGGGGUCUGCAACUCGACCCCGUGAAGUCGGAGUCGCUAGUAAUCGCAGAUCAGCAACGCUGCGGUGAAUACGUUCCCGGGCCUUGUACACACCGCCCGUCACGUCAUGAAAGUCGGUAACACCCGAAGCCGGUGGCCUAACCCCUUGUGGGAGGGAGCCGUCGAAGGUGGGAUCGGCGAUUGGGACGAAGUCGUAACAAGGUAGCCGUACCGGAAGGUGCGGCUGGAUCACCUCCUUUCUAAGGAG